GAUUGCGAUCCGGCGGUGGGAAGCCCACUUUCCCCCCAAAACCCUAGCCGCCCCUCUCUUAAGGCCCCUUGUGGGCAGCCGCCCCCCUUCCCUCCUUUGGCCGUCACCCUCCCCCCCUCUUCCCUCUUCUCUCUUCCCCAAGUGCUGCAGCCGCCCCCUCUCCAUUCUCAAGUUUUUUUUUGCAGCAGCCAUCUCCUCAACCCUAGCCGCCACCCCCCAUCUCCUCUUCUCCAAGUGUCGUUCUUCCUCGUCGGAUCUUCUUCGUGUGGGUGCAAGUUUCAAUUGGAGAAUUGGUGGGAGGAAGGAAGGAGGAAAAAGGUGGAACUCAAGGUACUUGAUACAUGUUGGGAAUGAGGGGAGUAGCAGCACGUUCACUUUCACUCUCACAAUAACGCUGUCCAAGCGCAACCAUGAUUUAAUUAGAAACUUAUUGUCAAAGGAAGUUUGUUUCUUUUAACUAGUCGUGCGCACUAGUUAAUUCAGUUCAUGUCGUAUGUGUAACUUCUCUUUGCUAGCUGAUUAAUAAUACUUAGUAUGUUUUUGUCAUGAUAUAUGUUUAUACACUGUUGCCCCCCCUCAUUUAUGCAAUUUUGCAAAGGGGUUGCUGCCGAAAUUUUAUAUAUAGAUGUCAGAAGUGUUGUUCAGUAGCAUUCCGUGGUGUUUGUGGACCCCGGGGUGUUACAGUUGGUAUCAGAGGAUAGGCUUUAGAUUCUACGCAAUUUGAAGAUAAAUUUGACACACUUGCACAUAUAGGAAGGGUAUGGGUUCGUAUAUCUUUCAUAUUAGUAUUUUAUUGUAUAGAUGACUAGAAUUCCCUUACUCCAAAUCCCUUUAUGGUUUGAUGGGGUAUGUCGUUAACGACUUAAUGUUUGAUAUGAUAUGUUACUUCUAAUUAAUAUUGGUUUCUUGAUGUGGUUGUUAUUGAAGUUAUUAUGCAAGUGAAGCUACUAAUGUACUUGUUUUGUAUACAUAUCGUCAUGAUGUUUUUUUAUGCGAUGUUUUUCAAAUCUUUGAGCUAUUACUAUCAUAUAUUUCUAUAUGCUUGAUUGUGGUUGUUUUUUUAAAUGGAUUUUUUGGGGUUCUAGUACUUGUAGGACCGAUUGUUUAUUGAGUCUGUGUAUAGUGGGUCUAAUCCGGCUUGGUGGGUGUGAAAACACUAUAUAAUGUAGUUUUAUCAUGUUGUUGGGUCUGAUUGAAUGUUGGGCUACAACCCAACUUAUCAAUGUAAUAUUUCCAUGGAGGCAAUGCUUUGCGCCUCACUUUUUUUAGGCUAGUGUGGCUACUUGCUAACUUGAUCUUAGUAUAAAAUUGGUUUGUCUCUCUAGAGCAGAGGCAACGUUGUAAUGUCUAUGAAAUCUUUAGACUGGUAGAACUCGAGUGAAUUUGUGAGAUGACGUAGAUUGAUAAGUCCAACCAUGUCUACCUGAUAGGUUUUCUUAUUAUGUGCAACCUUAUUUUUAACAAUAAAUAGGGUGGUUUCAAGUGGAUUUUAUGUCAUGCAUGUUUUCCUUCUAUGGCUUGUUUCAAUAGCCAUAAAGGCUAUGCAUAAUUUUUAGUUGUUGCAGGCUAGUCAUGUGGGCGAUAUUGAUAACCCAUUUUAUAUUUUUUUAUUUGCCAACAUUGUACUACUUUGAAUGCAUCCUAUGAUAUCACGAGGUACAAAUUGUUCAAUUGCAGUAAUAGUAGGUUUUGUUGUAUGUGAGGUUAAUCAAGGUAGUUUGGUUAUGUGGAUUGUCUUAUUGACGUCCAAUUACUUUUGUUGAGCAUAGUAUCGUGUUAUUGUUUUAGUAUUGAAAGUAAUAUUUAUGAAGCUUUUGCAUGAGUCUAUGUCAAGAGGUACAUUAGUUUUCUUGUUGUUAUCCCUCCAUUGCUUUAUGAGUGUUGCAAAUUUUAUCUCUUUUGAGAGGAGAGAAAGACGUUAUAUGACAUGAGCACCAUUUGCUUCACGUCAACAGAAUAGUUGUGGAGAUCUCUAGUAGUUGAAUUCUGGUGUAAUAACAACCAUGUUUUAUAGUGCUAGAGACGGGUAUGUCAGGUGUUUCAUACAUUGUCGCUACAUGGAUGUUUGACCUUAGUGGCAUUAACAAACGAGGUUGUUGAAUUCGUUGAUUGUUAUGCUUAGUGUUCUAACCUAUUAGGUAAAGUGUUGUUUAAAGACUUUGGGGAGUUGCAUCCCCAUUUGGUAGUGGGAAAUCCUAGUGUUGAUUGCACCUGCCCAUGCCUUGGGUUUCAUUUUAUAUUGUUUUUUUUAUUGUGGUUAAGGUGUUGCUUGGUUUUGGGAGUCAUUUUAAAUUAGUUGGAGGCUGAAUCAGGCUUCACUUAUCUAGAAUGUUUUGUAGUAGGUUUCUUCAUGUUUGCAUAUGAUGCUUAAUCACCCUGUUUGGUCUGAACAUUUGAGAGUUAUGGGUUUCCUAUAGCAGCCUUAAUUUUGUACGGAAGAAUAGACCUUGAUGAUGGUAUAAUUUGGUCUUUGUUAGAUUAUGAAAGAUUUAGUAAUUUCAUGAUCUUUCCAAAGAGUAUUGGUUCGUAAUUUUCAUUGUAUAUAAUUGGAGUUAGGCUGCUCUGAAGUUGUUGCACCGUUGUGUCUGAACUUUAGGUGUCGUUAUAACCACCAAUAAAUCGACCGUGUUUUGAUAGUUUCAUAGCCCAAAUUUGGGAAUUCUCUUUAAGCAAAACUUUAGUUCUUCUCAGUACCUUUUAAAUGGGUAUUUACUUGUAAUUGUCUGUUAAAUAGAUUGGGAGAGGUGGUUGUCCGGUUAUAAGUCGAAUCUCCAAUGUGCAGUAUCUCGGGCUGAGUUUAGCUGUAGGUCAUGCAGAGUUGAGGGCUAUAAAGAUAAAUUUGGGUGCAACUUUAUUGCAAAAGUCAUGGACAAUUUUCAAACUUUUCCAACGCGUGUUCGUUGUAGUUUUAAGUUGAGUAUAGGAGGAGUUAUAGGUUAUUGAAUUUUAGUUGUCCAUUGUUUCCAUCCUAUCAGUUUUGCAACAAAAGAGUUACAUUAUUUUAUCGAUUUGAAAACCAAUUUCGAGACACUCAUUAUAAUAAAAGUUUUACAGAAUGUUAUAAUCUUUUCAAUGGGUUUAUAUUUGCAAAAUUUUGUUAAGCUGCAGGGAGUUAUGGUAUUUUGAAUUUAUGUGUCAUGUUUCGUCAGUUUCUGGUGGCAGAUCAUGUAUGUCGCCUUACAAGUCAAAUUAAAAAUGGUAGAUGAAAAAAAAUUGUUUAUCCUUUGAAUACGAAAGUUGUAGAUCAUGAAGUUUAGAUGAUUUUACAAUAUUUCAUUGUUACCAUUGCUUUUAUAGUGAGAGGUAGAAAAAAUGAACAUUUGUGCUAUUGAUUGUCAAUUUUCUACUUAGUGAUUUUUUUUCAUGGGAGUUUGGUUUAGUUGUGGUGAGCUCUUUCGCAAUCCAUGUUAAUUAAGUUGUAUGGUGGGAGGGAAUAGACGUAGUGGUUGGGAUGGUUAUCUUGUUUAUGUAUAUGUGGAGCGUGGGCUGGAACACAGAAAUAGCAAGGAACGUUUGAAUACGCCAGUACGUAUUGUUGUGAAGCCACGUUUUCUUGUAUUGGCGUGAUUGCGUAAGUAUGAAAUAGUUACGUCAUGUGAAGUCUAGGUUGAGAUGCAAUUUGUCUGAGUUAUUCGAUAGAUAUAUGUAUAGUAUAAUUAAAAAAAAGAGAGUUCCUAUAUGGGAUGAUAUAAUGUAUAGAAUGUGCUUGGAUGAAUAUGUGGGCAGGCCUAACAUGCUUAAACAGAUUCCUGUUUGCAUGAUGUGAGAUUAGGCUUAAAUGGUUUAAAAAGAUAUCAUAUUGCUUCUAUACUUAUAUUUGUUCUAAGUAUCUCGUAAUGAAGCACCUAAAGUUAUUAGUCUUUCCAUGAACGCUUAAUCUUAGAAGGGUAAUGAACCUGAAUAAAAUCUAUUGCUUGUUGUUGGGUCUUCAUGACCAAUUUUAGUUAUGCAGCUAGUUCAAUGAAGUAAACCAUCUUUUCUGUAGAGAUGUUAUAUAUAAAAGUUGUAGCCGACUUCUUUAUCUUACUUGUGUAAAAAUUUCAUGACCAUAGGUCUAGUAGUUUGGGAGUUAUGAUUUUCUCAAGUCCAGUCUUGGAAUCUGUGCAGAUUCUGUACAGAUUUCGAAACUGACCUUGUUUGCCCAAUUUAAACUUCGAAUAACUUAUUAUAAAUUAUAAAGAAGUUGUAGUACCUUUCUUAAUCUUUUCAACAAACUUUGGAUCACCAUUUUUGGAGAUCUAUAAGUAAAAUUAUAGCUGUUUUAAUUGUGAUCUCUGAAUCUGUCUAAAUUUGGACAGCAGAGCCUUUCUCAUGUCUUUUGACCUUGAUAAGCAUUGAAUUAACCUGAUAUGUUUAUAAAUGAAUUAUAGACAAUUCUACUAGCUUUCUAAAAAGUCUGGGAGCACCUGAAUUGGAUGGCUGAGACUCCAAUUAUGGAUUUUUGAAUUGAGUAGUUGAAUUCUGUCCAAGUCUGGACAGAAUUUACGUUUAGCAUUGUUUGACCUUUCUAAGUGUCAAAUCUUGCUGUGAAGAUAAUACCAAGGGUAUAGUGGACUUUAUAAUCUUUCCAUAAAGUCCUAGUUUAUUAUUUUUGGAUGCUUAUUUUAUGAGUUAUGAACAAAACAAUUAACCGCUGUGCUGCUAUCCAGAAAUAUGCAAGCAUUAAGUUACUCUCUUGAAGUUGCUCUUGUUUGGCUAAGUUUGGUUUAGGCUAUAGGAAUACUAUAUGCAGUGCAUUCAUAUAUACAUUCCUUGAAGUACUUGCAUAUGUCAAUGAUUGAUUUGGUGUCAUGAAAGCUUUGUCCGAGGUAUAUAGGACCGUCUACUAUCUUAGCCGAGUUGGCAGCUGGGCUUAGCAUAUGCAAUUGUCGAAAUCUAUUAUCAGAGUACACCAUGUAUUCCAUGUCUUUAUGUGGAGAACGUAUUUGCGGAAUCCAGACCAUCAAAUCGAGCUAGAGCCAAUUCCUGUGUAGCAAGACCAGACUCUAGAGUGUCGUCUGCUGCGUAUCUUAGAAUCCUAGGAGCUUGAGAAGCUGAUGCGGUAGAAGUACCCGAACUUUUCUUUAUGUGUGAGUUUUGUUGAUUCAUUAAUCUUUCCUUUGUCGUUCCGAUAGAAGCAUCGGAAUUCGAGGUCGAAUUCUUUUUAAGGUGGGUAGAGUGUGAUACCCAAUUUUCAAAAAAAAGAAGAGAAAUUGAAGUUUACUCUUUUUUUUCUUUGUUUUCUCUUGCGGGUCCCGUGCUAUGGGGGGUUUGGAAUUUUAGGAGGUAAACAUCUGUAAAACAGUAAAAUUUAUGUUUGAUGUGUGCGCGGGGGUCGAGAGCUCUGGCGUAGGAAUGGUUUUGGGUCGUUGAUUGCGAUCCGGCGGUGGGAAGCCCACUUUCCCCCCAAAACCCUAGCCGCCCCUCUCUUAAGGCCCCUUGUGGGCAGCCGCCCCCCUUCCCUCCUUUGGCCGUCACCCUCCCCCCCUCUUCCCUCUUCUCUCUUCCCCAAGUGCUGCAGCCGCCCCCUCUCCAUUCUCAAGUUUUUUUUUGCAGCAGCCAUCUCCUCAACCCUAGCCGCCACCCCCCAUCUCCUCUUCUCCAAGUGUCGUUCUUCCUCGUCGGAUCUUCUUCGUGUGGGUGCAAGUUUCAAUUGGAGAAUUGGUGGGAGGAAGGAAGGAGGAAAAAGGUGGAACUCAAGGUGGUGGACUUUCGGAUCGUACUUAGGGAUUUGCCCGAACUUCCGGUAAAGGCAAGUAAAUAUAGUGGUGGUUGCUACCGUUUGGUUUGCAUCCUAUUCCCUGUCAUUGAGUAUGCAUAAGUUUUAAUUAUGUUAAUCAUUGAAUUCUAUGAUGAAGUUUAUUUGUUUGGAAGUAUUAAUUCUCAAUUGUCUAAUAUUGUGGAUGAUCAUAAUUUGGUUAUGAUAUAUGUGGUUGAUUCCCAUCUUGGAUGAAGUUGAAGUAUCUUUUUGAAUCACGUUAUAUGAAGUGUUGUAGGCAUGACAUGCACAUCGCAUCAUCCAUCUUGCAUUUUGAAGUUAUGUCGUGAUCUUAUGGUCCGACCGUACCGGUACAUUUUUAGCAUCGUACGUUGCCCGAGGAGGGGUACGAUGCGGCUUCAUAUCCUUAGAGGUAUGAAGGCAGAAGUCAUCCUUGCAUUUGCAGACAUUUGCACUCAUGAGGUAUAUAUGAAGUGUGACAUUACUAUGUUACUAUUGAGGUUUCUACCUGCGAGGUGUAGUGACUAGGUGUGUUGUACGUUGUAUACGUGAUGCACCAUCGUAAUAAGAAAGUUGUGGAAUCAAGUGGUGGUAAAACAAUGUUCUUAUGUGGUUAAACAGUUUGAUAUUAUUUUACUUGCUGAGAUGUGUCAUCUCACUCUUGCAUUACUCAAUGCAGGUACUUGAUACAUGUUGGGAAUGAGGGGAGUAGCAGCACGUUCACUUUCACUCUCACAAUAACGCUGUCCAAGCGCAACCAUGAUUUAAUUAGAAACUUAUUGUCAAAGGAAGUUUGUUUCUUUUAACUAGUCGUGCGCACUAGUUAAUUCAGUUCAU